CAGGUCUGAGGUAAAUGAGGUACUCGUUCGGUUGUCCGAAGCGGCCCCAAUUUUCGCCGUCUUCCACACACCAACAUCGCCAUCGGUCCCGCUCACAUACGACGUUUUACGUCAUAACGUUGGAGAUGUGUGGAGACUUGGGGUGUCCAUUCUGAAGCUCAGUUUUUAGUUACUUAGUUCACCAACUGUGGUGAAGCUCUUCUAUUCGCUAAUGAACCAGAAGCUUGAACGGCAAUGACGCUGGAAUAUCGGAGGUCUAUGGAGGAUGACGAAGCGGAGUGGGCAUUCAUUUCCUGGAGGAUGGAAUUACGAGCAUUUGUGGCCCAUCGCUAUUAAGCCCGGGGAGUCUACUAUCACUAACUCUGGAAAUGCAUGAGCUGCUCGGCUAAGGACGCGUGACCUGAUAAAAAAAAAACAACUCGUGGAAGAUCUCAGUAUGUCAGGCGGCAUCUGUCAAUUCUGCCGAAUCAAACCCUACGUCUCGACAUGAUGUUUAGCUGUAUUGCUUCUUCUGGCGGAGCAGCACCAGAAUUUAACCGCCGCAGCAAGAUCCUUCUCUUCAACGUAUAUAGUUGAAAUAAAUCAAAACAAAAUACGAAAAUGUGUGCUAGUAAUCAUCAAAGUUUAAAUAGCGGAAGUAAUCUGCAGCACAGGCAGCAUAUGUGGCUGAAAAAAAGAGCAUGCUGUUUCUGGCUGUCAUACUUUCAUGGUAAUGGUCUCAUGAUAAAGAGUCAGGGGACAAUGUGAAGUAUAUGAUAGUAAGAUAUUAUAAAGCGGAAGCAGAAGAGACCAAUUGGAUCCUCUAGUACGCUCGAAUUUUAAUAGGAUUGCGAAUCCAAUGUCUCCGAUUUAAGAUGGCGCAGCUUGCUUGUUGAGGUGACUACUUUUUGCGGUCAAUGAAACAACUAAAGCAACUAAAAACUUAAUUAUUCAAACGUCUUUUCUGGUAAACGAUUGCUGCAAUUAGUGAGCGCCCUUUGACUUUCAUGUCGGAACUGAUCUGAAUCGCCAGCACGAUCUGGCUUUUUUUUUUGCUGCGGUGUUGCUGGGGCAGGACGUUUGCAACAUGUUCAGAUUGGAGUUGCGGGAGCGGAAUUGGCAGAAAUUCGAUACGCAGAGCCGAGGCGAAGCAAACUCUGAAGUUCGAUCGACUUAAGUACUAAAGCAAAUUGGAAUGGUCAGGUCCUCCAGAUCCGGCAACAUCCGUGUACAUUUUCUCUGUACUAUAUCAAUCUUACGGGAGGAGAAGAUGGCGGCGCGACGCAGCUUGCAGUGGCCACUCCGGUGAAUGAUAUCUGUUAUCUGUCAAGUAGGGUGCCGUGCACAAUCCUGAUUUGAUGCAGACAGACAUGAGAGCACUUCUGAAAUACCUGCUUCGCUGCCACUGCUACUGUGUGAACCAGAAUCUCCGGUGGGGAAGGCCCCGAGUCAUCGGCUUUGCUUAUUGCUCAGCGGCCGGGGCGAGGUCAAAGCGCUCGGCAAAGAUGGGUGCUCGGUGUCAGAGGGCUGUUCGGAGGCUCGAAGUUUUCGGACGGAUUCAGAGUCGGCUGCGGUCGGGUGCUUCCAAUGCAUCGGCAAGUUUGUGGCGUUUGGACUUCAUAGCAGGGGGAGUUUCUCCAUCCUACCGUCUGCGUCAGAUGAUGGGGCUAUCGGGACUUGAGACUUUUGCUUUACCGUGCCCAUGGUCUGCUCUUCAUCAAAUUACGGUAUUGCAUCCCACUGUUGUAACUUUAUGUUAUAAUUAUGUGGUUUUGUCAGUUUUAGUCUUGGUUUGUACUGUGUUUCUGUGAUAUCAUACUGGAGGAACAGUGUAUCAUUUUUUAAUGCAUGCAUUUCUAAAAGACAACAAACGAAGACUGAGUGUCCUCAUAAUCUAAUCUAAUCUAAUCUUCCCUGUAGGGAAGGUGAGCAAAACUCCACAACACACUCCAAGUUAGGUCUAACCAACAUCUUAUAAAACUUCGAGGUAAUAUUCCAUCUCCUGUGCUCAAUAGUUUGAUAUACUAAGGUAAUUGUGCCAAAAGCUUUCUUUAUAACUCUCUCUACCUGUAACACCUUUUUCAAUGUAUUAUGGAUAUGUUCAUUCCCAGCUCCCUGAUUUCUAGCACACCCCUCAGUGCUCUUCUUGUCUUGCCCAUACUGCACUAACCGCCGCCGCUGGGCUAUAAACUUGUAGGAGCAAUGUGCGGUUAAGUGCCUUGCUCAAGGACACAAUACGCUGCUUCGGGUGAGUCUCGAACUCGCGACCUUCUGAUCGCUAGUCCAACGCCUGAACUACUUGGCCAGGCGCAUUCCAUUCACGCUAUAAGACGCACCUUGGUUGAUCGCACUUGUCUGCGUAAAACGGAAUCUGACAUUCUCCCAGCUGAUCCAGUUCAUUCUGCAACCUAUAAUAGCCUAACCCGCUGUUCACUACACCCGCAAUCUUAGUGUCAUCCUUGAAUUUGCUGAUCCAGCUAACCACAUUAUCAUCAAGAUCUUUGAUGCAGAUCACAAACAGCAACGAACGCAGCCCCGAUCCUUGAGGAACUCCACUCGACACAGGUCUGCACUCAGCGAGGCACCCAUCUACUACCCCUCUCUGGCUUCUACCACAAAACCGAUGUCUAAUUCAAUUUAUGAUCUCAUUUCAUGGAUGCAAUAUCAACUGUCACGCCUUUGUCAAUCUUCUUUGAUAACUACAUUAAGUUAGGUGGAUGCAAUCUACGUAGUAUAGACCUAGUACGCGAUAGACCUAGUAGAUCGUCGUACCUGGUAGUACAACAAGUACUGAAAGUUGAAAGUUGACUGGGAAUGGGGAGUGUAAAUCGGUAUCAGUGGAAAGCAAGCCAUGUUUGAUACAUCUGUUAGAAUUUCAGUUUCACUAAGGCUGCAACUAACUUCUAUGAGUCAUAUCUGAUGUAAGCUUGGCUUCCAUAAAGCGCCACAGUGGAGUUUACUAGCCAAAAAUUGCGCGCACGUUAUUAGUGUAAUCAGCGUAAUAUGAGUGCCCCCAUGCUGGCGUAGAAAGAGGAAAUGUACUUUCGUUGUAUGUUAUUCUAGCCUGACAGGGUGGAUCUGAAAUGUACGCUUUCUGAGCUCGUGUCUGUAGAAUUCGAAAUCAGAGCCCAAACAUGCGUCAACAGCAUUCAGGAAAGAGUUAAUGUGGUGAAUAUUCAGAAUUCUCUGUGCAAGA